rnacentral:lncRNA from 1 species
GUACCUCAGCGGAGUUCCUGUGGCAGCAGGGCAUGUGGACAGUGGGCAGACGCCACAGCACCACGCACUUGAGAGAUUAAAGCUAACUGCAGUUGGCUGAUGACAGGCUCGUGGGCAUUAUCACCGCCGUGGGCUCCGGAACGUUGGUCCUGUUAUUCAUCCUCUUGCUUGCUGCAAUUGUUUCUCUUAUCGCUUCCAACAAGAGGGCGACUCAAGGAACCUACAGCCCCAGUGGUCAGGAGAAGGCCGGCCCUCGAGUGGAAAUGUGGAGCAGGAUGCCGCCCCCAGCACUGGAAAGGCUCAUCUAGGAAGCCCCCUGCUCCUCUCAGAACAGAGCAGAGCAUGUUGAGUACC